AUACACAGAUGUUGAUGAUAAAUCACUCUGUAUCAUCUAAAAGUGUUUUCCUAUGCUUUUGCAUCUAAUACUGGAACAUUGUAAUGAUGUCACAGAAAAAGGAUUGAAACAUGUGGUAGAAAACUGCAUAAAUUUGAGAGAGCUUCGUCACUGUUAUUCGAAAAGUGAUAUGCUGAAAGAUUGAAAUUUGAGGAUUCAAAUGGUAGAAGAAUAUUUGUUGAAGGAAGACAAAGAAGCCAAUAUGAUCCUCUUAUUGUAGUUACUCAUCUUUUUGAAGGAAGACAAAGAAGCUAUUUGACUUCUUGUUAUUGCAAUACUACUUAAUUUGUAUCCAAUAGGAUAACAAUAUAUGGUAUUAGGGGAUCAAUAGAUUACACAUUACAAUUAUUCAUUCAAAAACAAUUUCACAAUGAUAUGCUUGUUUGCUUUCAAUUUGAGUAGACAACAUAUUCUUUUAU